AGGUGCGAGAUGACAUCGUUUAACGCAAUUUAUCCGCUGGGUAAAUGAAAAUUGUGAAGUCCAAUGCAUGGGAUAUAUGUAAUAAAUAUACGAGGUAUCUGGAAACAAUAUAUCAGGAUCAAUGAUGGAGCGCAAGAGGAAACAGAAAAGAAUCUUCACCCCUGUGUCUUAACAGAAUGUCCAAAUGAAUUGUCAACAGAAUCCUUGAAUCCAUUUUACCAAAAUCAGCAAGGCAACUUUUAGAACUACAACAACAGAGAGAACCUUCCAUCUGCAGAACAAACUAAAUAAUCUUCUACAGCUCCACAUGUCAACAGAAGAAACCUUCCAUCAACAGAGACUAAAUAAUCUUCUACAGCUCCACAUAUCAACAG